UGGGGAGUACGGCCGCAAGGCUAAAACUCAAAGGAAUUGACGGGGGCCCGCACAAGCGGCGGAGCAUGCGGAUUAAUUCGAUGCAACGCGAAGAACCUUACCAAGGCUUGACAUAUACCGGAAACGUCCAGAGAUGGUCGCCCCGCAAGGUCGGUAUACAGGUGGUGCAUGGUUGUCGUCAGCUCGUGUCGUGAGAUGUUGGGUUAAGUCCCGCAACGAGCGCAACCCUCGUUCUAUGUUGCCAGCACGUAAUGGUGGGAACUCAUAGGAGACUGCCGGGGUCAACUCGGAGGAAGGUGGGGAUGACGUCAAAUCAUCAUGCCCCUUAUGUCUUGGGCUUCACGCAUGCUACAAUGGCCGGUACAAAGGGCUGCGAUACCGUAAGGUGGAGCGAAUCCCAAAAAGCCGGUCUCAGUUCGGAUUGAGGUCUGCAACUCGACCUCAUGAAGUCGGAGUCGCUAGUAAUCGCAGAUCAGCAACGCUGCGGUGAAUACGUUCCCGGGCCUUGUACACACCGCCCGUCAAGUCAUGAAAGUCGGUAACACCCGAAGCCAGUGGCCUAACCCCUUGUGGGAUGGAGCUGUCGAAGGUGGGAUUGGUGAUUA
rnacentral:rRNA from 11 species